rnacentral:sRNA from 1 species
CGAAAGCACUCCGUACUGGAAGUAGGAGGAGAGUCGGGACUCCCAGGACAGGGAGUGCACAAACUAUCCAGCACAGCCCCCUCCGCCCCCUUUGGAGGCUGAAGAGGGAUUCCAGCCUCUGCCACCCACAGACAGGGGCUGACUGGGGUGUCUGCCCCCCUUGGGGGGGCAGCACAGGGCCUCAGGCCUGGGUGCCGCCUGGCACCUAGAAGAUGCCUGUGCCCUGGUUCUUGCUGUCCUUGGCACUGGGCCGAAGCCCAGUGGUCCUUUCUCUGGAGAGGCUUGUGGGGCCUCAGGACGCUACCCACUGCUCUCCGGGCCUCUCCUGCCACCUCUGGGGUAAGUAUCCCUACUUUUAAAAAGAAUUUCCCAGGUUGAAUGAAGGGAGCAGAGCUGUCCCAGGCCCAUGCCCUCCAUGCCCACCUCAGCCCAGGACAGCCAAGUUCUUUGGCUCUCUGGGUAUAUAAGGUGCCACCAAAUUCUGGGCUUGGAACAGCUUCAGCUCCCACCCACCCCUCCACACACAGACAGUGACAUACUCUGCCUGCCUGGGGACAUCAUG